UGUGAAAAUUGUUUCUUAUUCAUAGUGUGUAUUUCUGGUGCAUGCAUUGAAUUGGACAUAUUACCGUACUUGUUGAUGUAGGAGAUUUCAUGAGACUACGUGUACAAUGUAAAUUCUUUGUUUAAUUGAUUUUAAUCAAUAAUUAAUGCCAAAGCUCAUUGGAAUUGACUCUGUGUGUGUAUUAUUAUAGUAAUGUACUUUUAUACCAUACAUGUCAGGUAUAAAUGAAUUUCUUCUGUAUGAAUAUUUCAUAACUAUCAUUUUAUGUUUUCCUUAUAAAAUGUUAUAAAAACAGGUGACUUGAUUUGGUAUUAAAAUGUGUAGUAAUAUUUGCGUUGACAUCCUGAAUUCUAAGUGCUAUUUUUGAUAACAGUUGUUGAAACUGUUUUUAUCUUUCAUUACUAGAUACGUGUGUACAUAUACGUAGUUAUCUUUAUCAGUUAUCUUUACCAGUUGUUUUUGUUUGUUUUUAAAUUACAUAUUAACUUAACAGGGGCUUUUGAUAAAGUGUUUUUUUUAUCAUUUUGGUUACGUAACACCAGAAAGUUUAGAUAACCUUUUGCAAAGGCAAAUGACCUUCUUUAUAGAUGUAUUGCGGUAGGAAAUAUUUAUUUUGGUUGAUGAUUAUUUGUUUCCUUUAAACUGACAACAUAAUCCUGAACAAAUUAUAUAUUUUCUUUCAUAUUGUUGUCUCCUUAUUUAUUCUUCAAAUGAAUACCAUGUGUUUAAUGUUCAAAAUUUCUUUAAGAUUAAUUAUAGUUUUCCAUUCUCUUACCAUUUAUGCUGUUAUAAAUUUGAAAAGAUAAAAAAAUCAGAAUUUGUAUAAUUUAUAGUUUUUCUUGCUUGUAAAAUGUUGAUUACUUAUCAUAAUUAUCCCAACAACUAUUAUCCUGUGUAUUGUAACUAUACAUGUAUGCAUGUCUGGUUGAGUAGGAUGGUGUACUUCUACUGUCAAUCAUAAUGUGUUACAUGGCUUAUACAUGUAAUAACAAGUGCUUGAAAGGGUAAUUAAAACAUAUAUGUUUGAUCUGUCAUUGCUUUGAUAAUCUAUUUCUCAAUUACUCUUUAUUGUAUUGGCGUGAUGUGUCUCAAUCCUAGUCUGUUGAACAAAUUAAUGUAAUGUAUGUGGUUCUAAGAACUACCUUAAUAUCUUCUCUAUCCUAUGAAUAGUACUACAUAUAUUGUAUGUAAUCAGUUCACAUGUAUGACAUGAAUAGAGUGAGGGUUAAUUUAAUUUAGAAUAAAUAAAUAACUGUUACUUAAG
rnacentral:sRNA from 1 species